CGUGUUACGUCACCGGAUACGCGCGUUCUAAUUUCAAUAUUGUUUAAAAAACACGGCAACGUGCUCGUUAUUGUUCGGUUCGGUGCAACGUGACAUCGAGAACGAUUAGUGCGUGCAGUGCGACGUACCUAUCCCGGGAUAUCGCCGCGCCGGUCAAAGGUCAAUUUCUUUCGAUGAGUGGAGGUUUAGUGCAUGUCUUUACAUCAUGACUAGAUCCACACUCAUCCAUGGAAGUUGCGAUGUUCUACAUACAGCGAGGACUCGAGCGCGAUGGCGGCUCGGUGAUUAUGGCCGGCUAUCAUUACCGGUGCCGUACUAAUGAUACGUUGAGCGCAGGUACGCAACUCGCGGAGGUAAUCGGCGUCUACCUGCGCGCUUCUCGCGGCAACCGAAAUGUCGUUACACGACCCGUUUUAACUAUUGCUUGCCCAAAAGCGGAAAGGGCGCGGCUAAUAGCGGCGCAAGCGCAUCUGCUCCUUCUAAGAAAGGCUAUUGUGGCGGGUCUCGCAGUGGUCAGUGAGCUGACGUCACGGGUUGGGGCCGACAACCUGACGCUGACAAACGUCCCCUCACCCCUCAAUUGCGUGCAAAUUACCAUACACAUCCGACGGAAUGCAAA